CACACACAUUGUGGGAUUCGUACACACAUUGUGGGAUUCGUAAACACAUAGCACGCGAAACACACACACAUCGUGGGAUUCGUACACACAUAGCACGCGAACCACACACAUUGUGGGAUUCGUAAACACAUAGCACGCGAAACACACACACAUCGUGGGAUUCGUAAACACAUAGCACGCGAAACACAAACACAUUCACCAAAUGUGUGUGUGAAUUGUUUUACGCGCAUUUGUAACGUGCUUCCAAUUACAAAUUCCCACUUACGAAUACAAAUUCCCACUUACGAAUGUGUGGAUCGUUUUGAUACCCGUCAUGCGCAACUGAGAAGAACACAUGCAUUUUUUUAACUGGAGCCCGUCUUCAGCCAAUCAGACGUCUUCUUCUUAAACAGCCAAUCACAAGGGCUGGGCUGUUUCGUUACGUCACUGCUGUGCGCCUUCAAGUCCGGCUGGAGAUUCCUUUUAGACUACAACGCAGUUCAUGCGGUUGUCGUGCGGUUGGUGUACAACAUGGAGAAGAGGUUCCAGGAGAUUUUCAAUUUUAUGUCUAGGGGUGAAUUCCCUAAUUUAUAGUGAAUCUCAGAAAUGUGCUUUAAGAAGAUAUAUGCAGAAGCUCAAACUGAAGGUCCCAAACAGAAGCACGAUCACUGUUUAAUGAAGUACACUCGGCUUCAAUUGGUGCACACACAGGCACUGUUAAAACCAGAUCCUCAAUGUACUCCAGAAAUUAUUGGGAUGGCAUGACGGUGGACAUUGACUGAUGGGUCUCUGAAUGCGACGGAUGUCAGAGGACUGGUAACUCUUUGGCUGUGUGUGACACAGCCAUUACAAAGCAUUAAGGUGUCUGCUGUUUGGGAGUUGGUUGGGAUAGACCUGACUGGGCCUCUCCCAAAAACCAAGGAUGGCUUUCAGUACAUUCUUACUGCCACCGAUUAUUUUUCCAAACACAGAUGCCCCCAAAGAAUCCUGUCCGACCAAGGAAGAGAAUUUGUCAAUUAGCUCAACGAUAACCUUUGUGCCUCCUGUGCAUUGAAAGGAGUGUUACAGCUGCAUAUCAUCCUAAGACGAAUGGGCUGGAUGAGAGGACAAAUAGCAAACAUAAAACGGCAAGUUGUUGUUGGUGUUCUAAAAUGUAUAUCUAAUUGUACCCUUCUACUUCGUACAGCUCUUACAAAAUUGGUGAACGACCGACAGGAUUUGUUUGGUGGUUUGGCCUAUUCAGUAGAUAAUUUUGACCGGAUGGUCAUCUGGUCAAGUGCCGUAAAUAAUAACUUUUUUGAUUUAACAAUGUUGUGUUUUCAGUUAAAUUACUGUGGGCUGCAGAGGAUCAAGGCAAGGUGGAGGCUGUCGUUGGACCGUAUAAAUUAUAUGACACAUCUUUUCAUACGCUAAAAGGCAACGGCUGGCUGUCUGAUGAAGUCAGUGGGAGCAAUAAGUGUUUAGCAAAUAACAAAGAUUCUUGCCUUUUGCCAAUUUUUUUAUUUUGCUAUGCAAGUAUUUGAUGCAUACAUGCAUAUCCUCAUUGAAAGGCAGCAGCCAAGUGCUGGAUAUAGUUUUUCUCAAUGCAUUUAUUUUUUGCCGGAGUAUAGUUGUAAUGUUGUUACCCCUUUUUUUAACAGGAGCCCAUUCACCAACUCUCUGCUGUGGUAGCUGGGAGUCUGCUUUUGGGAAAAUUUCAGCCUGUUAGAAAGGUAAUCCAUUUCAUGCCAAUAUUUAGCUAUAUUAUUUUAACGCCAGUAACCCAAAAUAACAAUAAUUUGGUAUUGUAUGUUCUUCAGAGGAAAUUCCCUGUUGAAAAAAAAAGUGUAUUUGUCCUGUCCUGUCCUGUAUGCGCUCAUUGGAUUUUAGUGGUUAGUGGGUUUCUUAUAUUUUCUUAAGACCUACCGAUUCUGGAAUGUAUUAUAUAUAGCUAUUAAUUUAGCUGAUGCCAUACAGAAGUUAAAUUUCAUUAGUAAGUUAACUACAUAAAUCUGUCAUUGUGCAGAAUUACACAAAGGAACUAACCUUUUAUAGAUUGUCCACAUUUCUAAGAGAACACUGGUGAUCAACGAUCCCUUGAGUAACGAGGACAAAUAUGAGCAAAAUCUUGCGGAAUUGGAGGAACUUCUUGAGGUUGGCGGGCCGUGAGUUCCAAAUAGAAACUUGGACUACCAAAACUGUGGCCCAUAACAAGCAGCAGAACAACAGUAGCUGUGGGGUUUUCACAUUAAAGUUUGCGGAAGAGUAUAUGGCCAAUGGAGAUCUCAGGCACAACCAGACCCACCUUCCCGAAGUUCUGAAGGCUCGAGGAGAUCUAGCCUGUGCCCUCCUACAGGCUGGGAGUCUGAGAUGUCUAUUUAAAUUAAAAAAAUGUCUCAAAACUUA